GACGAACGCUGGCGGCGUGCUUAACACAUGCAAGUCGAACGGAAAGGCCCUGCUUUUGUGGGGUGCUCGAGUGGCGAACGGGUGAGUAACACGUGAGUAACCUGCCCUUGACUUUGAGAUAACUUCAGGAAACUGGGGCUAAUACCGGAUAGGAGCUCCUGCUGCAUGGUGGGGGUUGGAAAGUUUCGGCGGUUGGGGAUGGACUCGCGGCUUAUCAGCUUGUUGGUGGGGUAGUGGCUUACCAAGGCUUUGACGGGUAGCCGGCCUGAGAGGGUGACCGGCCACAUUGGGACUGAGAUACGGCCCAGACUCCUACGGGAGGCAGAAGUGGGGAAUAUUGCACAAUGGGCGGAAGCCUGAUGCAGCAACGCCGCGUGCGGGAUGACGGCCUUCGGGUUGUAAACCGCUUUCGCCUGUGACGAAGCGUGAGUGACGGUAAUGGGUAAAGAAGCACCGGCUAACUACGUG
rnacentral:rRNA from 1 species